AAACCGGAGCUAAUACCGGAUAAUAUUUUGAACCGCAUGGUUCAAAGUAAAAGACGGUCUUGCUGUCACUUAUAGAUGGAUCCGCGCUGCAUUAGCUAGUUGGUAAGGUAACGGCUUACCAAGGCAACGAUGCAUAGCCGACCUGAGAGGGUGAUCGGCCACACUGGAACUGAGACACGGUCCAG
rnacentral:rRNA from 1 species